rnacentral:lncRNA from 1 species
CACACAUACACACUAAAGCAGGCCCACACAUACUCGCCAUACAUGUACACACAUACACACUCACAUACAGGCACAGGCACAUACACACACAUGCAGGCACACCCAUACACACAUGUACAGGCACAUAUACACGCAGGCAGGCACACACACACAUACACACGUGCACACAUACACACUAAAGCAGGACCGCACAUACUCGCCAUACAUGUACACAGAUACACAAACAUGCACAGGCAUAUACUUAUGCACACACACACACACACACGUACAGGCACAUACACACGCAUCAUGCAGGCACACACACAUGGACAUAUAGACACACGCCCACAUAUGUAUCCCAGUCUGUUAGGACCAGAUUCACGUUUCUUGGGCUCCACCUGCCCUUUGUCCAUGGGGGAGCCAUGAAGUUCAUCCUGCGUCUGACGGUGGCAGGCAAAAGAAGAAAGUGCAAACCCCCAGCACCUGCCCUCGUCUUCUGAGAGCCACCACGGAGCCAAGCAACCUCAGACACAGAAGCACAGUUGAGUGAGACACCAGCAAGAGUGGAAGACCUUCUAUAUUUAGUUUUUGUUUUAAGCUCCAAACAUGCAUACCAACGGUGCUCAAUGGAUGCUUCUGAGUGUGUGAGAGGAUUGGUUGGACUCUGUGAGUUUUUUGAAAUUAACUGCGUGAUCAAGGCCAAGGGCUUCCCCAGAGGGUCUCAGGCUGUGCUGUGGGGGAGUGUGCACUGGGGCUCGCAGAACCCCGUCCUCUCUGUUCCUGUACCAUCCACAUCUCCUCUGUCCUCAAGAGAAGGUUCCACAACCAGGAGUAGGUAGCUGAUAUCGUCCUUCCUCUUUUAGAAUGCACCUUGGCUCCCAGGUAGCAGUCAGACUUCAAUGAGCUCCUCGUGAGUGCUGAAUAUACUCCAGCAGGCUGUGUUCAAUGUAUUUUCACUCAUUUAUGACUGAAAUAAAACCUGGCCCUCUUCCCUCCAACCUGGGGAAUGGGAAUUCUGGAAGCAGCCAUGGCUGAGGAGGAAUGAGCUAGAAUCAUG